rnacentral:rRNA from 1 species
CGCGUAUACAACCUACCUUUUAGCGGGGAAUAGCCCAGGGAAACUUGGAUUAAUGCCCCACUAGUAUGGAGGUCUCUCCUGAGAUUUUCAUUAAACAUUAUGGCUAUUAGAUGGGUAUGCGUCCUAUUAGUUAGUUGGUAAGGUAACGGCUUACCAAGGCAGCGAUAGGUAGGGGGUCCUGAGAGGGAGAUCCCCCACCACUGGUACUGAGACACGGACCAGACUCCUACGGGAGGGCAGCAGUGAGGAAUAUUGGACAAUGGCGAGAGCCUGAUCCAGCCAUGCCGCGUGCAGGAAGAC